rnacentral:rRNA from 1 species
CCUACGGGAGGCAGCAGUGGGGAAUAUUGCACAAUGGGGGAAACCCUGAUGCAGCGACGCCGCGUGAGUGAAGAAGCGUUUCGGCAUGUAAAGCCCUAUCAGCAGGGAAGAAGAUGACGGUACCUGACCAAGAAGCCCCGGCUAACUACGUGCCAGCAGCCGCGGUAAUACGUAGGGGGCAAGCGUUAUCCGGAUUUACUGGGUGUAAAGGGGGCGUAGACGGCCAGGCAAGCCAGGUGUGAAAGCCCGGGGCUCAACCCCGGGAAUGCUUUUGUAACUGGAUGGCUGGAGUACAGGAGGGGCAGGUGGAAUUCCUAGUGUAGCGGUGAAAUGCGUAGAUAUUAGGAGGAACACCAGUGGCGAAGGCGGCCUGCUGGACUGUGACUGACGUUGAGGCUCGAAGGCGUGGGGAGCAAACAGGAUUAGAUACCCGAGUAGUC